rnacentral:rRNA from 1 species
CAGCAGUAGCCGCGGUAAAACGAAGGGUGCAAGCGUUAAUCGGAAUUACUGGGCGUAAAGCGUGCGUAGGCGGUGAGUUAAGUCUGCUGUGAAAUCCCCGGGCUCAACCUGGGAAUGGCAGUGGAUACUGGCUCGCUAGAGUGUGUCAGAGGAUGGUGGAAUUCCCGGUGUAGCGGUGAAAUACGUAGAGAUCGGGAGGAACAUCAGUGGCGAAGGCGGCCAUCUGGGACAACACUGACGCUGAGGCACGAAAGCGUGGGGAGCAAACAGGAUUAGAUACCCCUGUAGUCCCUGUCUCUUAUAC